AAGCACUGCCUUUAAACUGGUGCAUGGCCUCCUCAUGGCCUCACUGGCUACGCUGCAGUGCAAAAAUAAAGAACUUGCUUAUAACUGAUGUUGCUCAGCUGAAAACUGAGUGAUAUUUUUAAAGGCAAGUUACAUUU